rfam:Capsella rubella cultivar Monte Gargano unplaced genomic scaffold scaffold_5, whole genome shotgun sequence.
GAGAGAAGAACAUAUAAGGAUAGCCAAGGAGACUGCCUGAUGUCUUUUGAUGAGCGAAAUGGUCAUUACUUGAUACAAGCUUGUCAAACAUGACAAUAACCAUUUUACUCAAAGAAACAGGCAAGUCAUCCUUGGCUACCAAGUAUGAUUCUUCUAU